UUUAUAUAUGUAAUUUUUAUUACAAAUAGUACUUGUUUUUUGUAGAAAAUUUAUUAUUU
rnacentral:tRNA from 1 species